UACGGGGGGGGCAAGCGUUGUUCGGAAUUACUGGGCGUAAAGGGCUCGUAGGCGGCCCUCUCAGUCGGAUGUGAAAUCCCCAGGCUUAACCUGGGAACGGCAUCCGAUACUGGAGGGCUUGAAUUCGGGAGAGGGAUGCAGAAUUCCAGGUGUAGCGGUGAAAUGCGUAGAUAUCUGGAGGAACACCGGUGGCGAAGGCGACAUCCUGGACCGGUAUUGACGCUGAGGCGCGAAAGCCAGGGGGAGCAAACAGGG
rnacentral:rRNA from 1 species